GAAUAUUUUUUUUUUUUACAUUGUUUUCUAAAACUUGCUUUUUAAAGUUUCUUUUAUAUAGCCAAUGCUUUAUCUCAGUGCAUUAUGGUUUAAUCUGUUGUGGGAGGAGGUAGUUAUCUGGGUGAAAGUUUACAAGCUGCUUGUGGGCACUCAUCAAUCGCAAUGCUGCUAGAAAUGAGUUUCAAACUCAUGUCCCAUUAAUAGGAAGCCAAAUUUAAUUUUAGAACAAAAAACAACAUUCAGGUUCAUGAAUUUCAUUUCUAUUUUUUUUUUUGGUGGUUAAAUUAAGAAUAGCAGCUCAUAAAUUUGAGAUUCAAUGUAAACAAUUUUAUAAUAAUGUUCAGAAAUUAAAUUUAUAAAAUAACAACUUAUCUGGGGAUUAACUGUCAUGAACAAAAGUUUAACAUUAAAAAAAAUAAAUUAUCUAGAAACACUUGGUAUAAGCUGUUUAAUUUGUCAAGGUAAACAAAAGCAGAUUGUGUAGACAGUAAAAUAUCUGUAACUUGCAACACAAAUAAACAUAAACAAGCACACAUGUAUAUUAGAGUAUGAACAGCUGGUCCUAUCAGAAUUGAUUUGACCAAAAAAAAAAAACAACUACUGAUGUACCAGUAGUGGAAUUUUUUUUUUUAAAUCUGAAUUUCGGAACUUGAAAAAGCUAAAAUUUGACUUUCCCAUAAUUUGCCAGAGAAGUAUACAUUCAAAAUUAGCCAGAUACUAGACCUAGAUAAUUCUAUAAUUACCAUUCUCAUUUAGAACAAUGCAUUUUUUUAAAAACAAUUUUUAAUAGAGUCAACUAAAUGAUAGAACUUUCCAAGCAAUAAAAUCAAAUCUUAAAUAUAAUUGAUACAAGAAACAAAUCUAGCUAUCAAGACUUUGGAAGAUACAAAACACACAUCGCUGGCUGAUUAUUUUUCUCAAGUACGUACAGUGGAGUCUUUUUCCCCCCUUAAUCUUUCAUAUUGUGGUUUAAUAAUCAUCAUACCUUGUCUAUGUCCUGCAGAAAUUUAAUUCACAAAAGUAAUAUUUAAAAACCUUGACAUUAGAUCCUUGUCAAUUAGUGCAGUGUAUUAGUCAUAUGUUUUUUUCAAACUAAAACGUGUAUCAUAAGAAUGCUCAGAAAAUGCUGUUGAACCUUUUUUUUUCUCAUGUAGA